CCUACGGGAGGCAGCAGUGGGGAAUAUUGCACAAUGGGGGAAACCCUGAUGCAGCGACGCCGCGUGAGUGAAGAAGUAUUUCGGUACGUAAAGCUCUAUCAGCAGGGAAGAAAAUGACGGUACCUGACUAAGAAGCCCCGGCUAACUACGUGCCAGCAGCCGCGGUAAUACGUCGGGGGCAAGCGUUAUCCGGAUUUACUGGGUGUAAAGGGAGCGUAGACGGCAGCGCAAGUCUGGAGUGAAAUCCCAUGGCUUAACCAUGGAACUGCUUUGGAAACUGUGCAGCUAGAGUGCAGGAGAGGUAAGCGGAAUUCCGAGUGUAGCGGUGAAAUGCGUAGAUAUUAGGAGGAACACCAGUGGCGAAGGCGGCUUACUGGACUGUAACUGACGUUGAGGCUCGAAAGCGUGGGGAGCAAACAGGAUUAGAUACCCUAGUAGUC
rnacentral:rRNA from 1 species